GAGUCAUAGGAGUUGAUUACACAGCAGCUACUGUGUCUUAUCUCUGUACUUCUGCUCCUCUGUGCUCCUUAG
rnacentral:miRNA from 1 species